rnacentral:rRNA from 1 species
AUUAAAGUUGUUGCAGUUAAAAAGCUCGUAGUUGGAUUUUAGAGUUUACUUAGUAGAGUCCGCUUGAAUGAGUGUGUAUUUUACUAGUAGCUCUCCUUACUAGAUAUUCACGAUCAUUUUUAAAAGAGUGGUUGUUCUUGCUCCGCAAGGGUGAGGUGCUUGGUGGGUCUGGGAGUUGAGAUGUGGUGUUUUUACGGGGCAACCUGUGGGAACAUCUGCUUGGCUAACUUCCAUCGAGUAGAAUUCUAGUUCAUUUACUUUGAGUAAAUUAGAGUGUUCAAAGCAAACGUACAUUUUGUAAUGAAUACUAUUAGCAUGGGAUAAUGGAACAGGACGUUGGUUCUAUUUUAUUGGUUUCUAGAACUAAUGUAAUGAUUAAAAGGGAUAGUUGGGGGCAUUAGUAUUUAAUUGUCAGAGGUGAAAUUCUUGGAUUUAUGAAAGACUAACUUCUGCGAAAGCAUUUGUCAAGGAUGUUUUCAUUAAUCAAGAACGAAAGUUAGGGGAUCGAAGACGAUCAGAUACCGUCGUAGUCUUAACCAUAAACUAUGCCGACCAGGGAUUGGAAGACGUUAAUUUAAAAAAUAGGACUCCUCCGGCACCUUACGAGAAAUCACAAGUUUUUGGGUUCUGGGGGGAGUAUGGUCGCAAGGCUGAAACUUAAAGGAAUUGACGGAAGGGCACCACCAGGAGUGGAGCCUGCGGCUUAAUUUGACUCAACACGGGAAAACUUACCAGGUCCAGACACAGUUAGGAUUGACAGAUUGAGAGCUCUUUCUUGAUUCUGUGGGUGGUGGUGCAUGGCCGUUCUUAGUUGGUGGAGUGAUUUGUCUGGUUAAUUCCGAUAACGAACGAGACCUCAGCCUGCUAAUUAGUUAUAUAAAUUAAUACGUUAUGAGGGUUUGUUGUAGAGCUUUCUCGCAAGAGAGGGAUUUGCAGUGAAAACUUGUUUUAAUUUAUAGGAACUUCUUAGAGGGACACUUGGUGUCUAACCAAGGGAAGUUUGAGGCAAUAACAGGUCUGUGAUGCCCUUUAGAUGUUCUGGGCUGCACGCGCGCUACACUGAUAUAAUCAACAAGUAUCAACAACCUUUGCAGAAAUGUAUGGGUAAACUUCUGAAAUUAUAUCGUGCUGGGGAUCGAUAAUUGUAAUUAUUUAUCGUCAACGAGGAAUUCCUAGUAAGCGCAAGUCAUCAGCUUGCGUUGAUUACGUCCCUGCCCUUUGUACACACCGCCCGUCGCUCCUACCGAUGAAUGGUCCGGUGAAAUCUUAAGAUUGAAAGCAUAUACUUAUUGAUUUCGGUUAAUAAGUUUGUUUUUGAGAAUUUGAGUAAACCUUGCCAUUUAGAGGAAGGAGAAGUCGUAACAAGGUAUCCGUAGGUGAACCUGCGGAUGG